rfam:Aedes albopictus isolate Foshan contig53676, whole genome shotgun sequence.
GGCUCGGUUGCUUAGUUGGUAUAGCACUUGUCUAGCGAAUAAGGGUCGUGAGUUCAAAUAUCACCUGAGCUG